GUUACUACUAUGUAUGCAUAUUUCGAAAACAAAAGAUAGUAGCAAGAGUUCAAAGAUAAAAUCUUCACAAAAAAUGGCAAACCACAUUUCCCAAUAUUUUCUCUUGGGACUUUUGUGCAUUGCGUUGGUUCAAGCUUCAGGAGGACCAAUGCCAUAUUUGGUUGAUGGGUGCUAUAGCUAUCUUUCAAGAUAUUGUGAUAGUCCUAGUAGUUGCGAGGCAACGUGCACUCAUGAGGGAUUUGACAAAGGAGUAUGUUUUGGAACUAUUUGUUGCUGUCAGUAUAAUUGAAAUAAAUCACAUAAUCAUAUAAUUUAUAUAUGUGUUAUUACUCAAUAUCAAAUAAACAAUCUCAUAAAAAAAAAGAGAUCCAAUACACUAAAUAAAAAACAUCUUCCUCCGAAGCUUUUAUUUUCACAUUUGAAGCAUGGAGAACUUGAUAGCAGUGGACAAGCUCAAUAUGAAAUAAAGAAGCAAGAGGUAGAGAGAAGUGGGACAUGUGCAACUCAAAGACAGGGCAAAGAAUUAUGCACUCAAGCUACCUUAAUUGUCUUAGUUAUGUCUUGUUUUGUUAUUGCAAAUGUACCCUUUUUAAAAUAAUAAUGUAUCCUAUUUUAAUUAAAUAAUAAAGAUUUCUAUGAGAAUAUGUG